AGAGUUUGAUCAUGGCUCAGAAUCAACGCUGGCGGCNNNUUAACACAUGCAAGUCGCACGAGAAAGUGGAGCAAUCCAUGAGUACAGUGGCGUACGGGUGAGUAACACGUGGAUUAUCUACCUUCUAGUGGGGAAUACCUCCGGGAAACUGGAGACAAUACCGCAUAAUCUCGAGAGAGGAAAGCCGCAAGGCCUGGAAGAGGAGUCCGCGGCUGAUUAGCUAGUUGGUGAGGUAAUGGCUCACCAAGGCUCAGAUCAGUAGCCGGCCUGAGAGGGCACACGGCCACACUGGCACUGAAACACGGGCCAGACUCCUACGGGAGGCAGCAGUGGGGAAUCUUGCACAAUGGGGGAAACCCUGAUGCAGGACGCCGCGUGAGCGAUGAACCUUCGGGGUGUAAAGCUCUUUCGGCAGGGAAGAUUAUGACGGUACCUGCAGAAGCAGCUGCGGCUACUACGUGCCAGCAGCCGCGGUAAUACGUAGGCAGCAAGCGUUGUUCGGAGUUACUGGGCGUAAAGGGUGUGUAGGCGGUUGGAUAAGAGUGGUGUGAAAUCUCCCGGCUUAACUGGGAGGGUGCGCUACAGACUGUCUGACUAGAGUGUGGGAUGGGAGAGUGGAAUUCCUGGUGUAGCGGUGAAAUGCGUAGAUAUCAGGAGGAACCCGGGUGUAGACGGCUCUCUGGACCAUAACUGACGCUGAGACACGAAAGCGUGGGUAGCAAACAGGAUUAGAUACCCUAGUAGUCC
rnacentral:rRNA from 1 species